GAAGGAUAAGAUGAUAAGCUGUGUGUCUUUUUCAGAAUGACCUGCUUGUAUUUACCUUCAUUGAAGGAGUGGUCAGUGUGGGUAUAGCCAUGAGGCAAAAAAGACAGCUGAAGCGGAAGAGUGUGGUGAGAACAUGGUGCCGCCGCGGCCAGCAGGUUUCCAAGCAGGGAUUCGGGUAGCAGGAAGGCUUUGGGGGAUGACUGAAGCUAUCACCUUGCUAAUCCUUGCUGUCCAAACUGGCCUCAUUGAGCUGCAGGAGUUUGUGGAAGCACUUCCGUGCAGUUUCUCUCUGUCUCUUCCUGCUGAUCUUUCCAGCGUACAUGGCUUAUAUGAUCUGCCAGUUCUUCCACAUGGACUUCUGGCUUCUCAUCAUCAUCUCCUCCUCAUCCU